UACGGGGGGGGCAAGCGUUGUUCGGAAUUACUGGGCGUAAAGGGCUCGUAGGUGGCCAACUAAGUCAGACGUGAAAUCCCUCGGCUUAACCGGGGAACUGCGUCUGAUACUGGAUGGCUUGAGUUCGGGAGAGGGAUGCGGAAUUCCAGGUGUAGCGGUGAAAUGCGUAGAUAUCUGGAGGAACACCGGUGGCGAAGGCGGCAUCCUGGCCCGUACCUGACGCUGAGGCGCGAAAGCGUGGGGAGCAAACAGG
rnacentral:rRNA from 1 species